UAGAGCAUUAGAUUGAAGCUCUAAGUGUCGGCGGUUCGAUUCCGUCCCGACCCA
rnacentral:tRNA from 1 species